AUCCAGCAGACGAGUCCCAAAUAGGACGAAACGCGCGUCCAGGAU
rnacentral:hammerhead_ribozyme from 1 species